ACUUCCUUCACAAACCAAGAUUCCAUUUGCUAAUUUGCAAGUUUUAGAUAUAUCUCGGAAUAGAUUAGUGGGAUCUCUACCUCAAAGAUAUUUCAAGAAUUUUAAAGCAAUGAUAGAGGAAAAUGAGACAAUCACAUCAAAUGAAUUUGAAAAUUAUGUGGAGAUGAGGCUCACCUUGAAAGGUUUGGAUCAAUUAUUACAGAGAUUGUUGUCAGCCUUUACAACAAUUGACUUAUCCUCCAAUAGGUUUUCUGGGAGUAUUCCACAUUCCAUAGGAAAUCUUAAGAUUCUCAAAUACUUAAAUUUGUCCCACAAUAACCUCAUCGGAAAUAUACCUCCAUCUCUUGGAAAUAUGAAUGAACUUGAGUCCUUGGACUUGUCAGUGAACAAGUUGAAUGGAGAAAUUCCAAGUGAAUUGACAAGGUUGACAUUUCUUGCGAAAUUAAACCUUUCAAUGAAUAAUCUUGUGGGGCGAAUACCACAGUCUAAGCAGUUUUCCACAUUUGAGAAUGAUUCAUAUGUGGGAAACUUGGAACUGUGUGGAGUUCCGUUCACGAGAAAAUGCAACAAGGAGAAGGGACAACGGCCAGAAGAAGAAGAAGAUGAUGAUGAUGAUGAUGAGUCUGGAUUUAUAGAUGGAUUUGGUUGGAGAAGUGUGGUGAUGGGAUAUGGAAGUGGAUUCAUAGUGGGAAUUGGAAUUGGUUACAUUAUUAUUAGAAAUGGAAGGCCCAGAUGGUUAGCUGAAUUCUUUUUUGGCGUUGGAUAUAAUUAUAAGAUGAAGAAGAGAUGCAGCAAUGCUACACCAACACGCCGCAGGAGAACUUAAUUGAAGCCCAAAAGAAUUCAUUUGUUCUUCAGUUGGUGUGUUUUGGUCGAUUUGAACUUUGGAGUUUAUGAAAUAUUGUUGUAUGUUCGAAUUUGCGAAGUUUUAAUUUUAUCUUGUUUCGAUAUAUUUUUUAGAUUAAAUCAGUUUUGUGAUUUUAUUUGGUAAAUUUUUAGAUUUGUUAAAAAUGACUUAGUUUUAGUGACAUAGAACACUUGAUUGUCCACGCUAAUAAUUUUUUUAGAUCAUUCUGUUUGAGCAGAUUUUUGCACGCCUACGAACUGUUUGAUAAAAGUCCGAAAUGAAUUCUCGGAGUUGUUCAGGUUAACGCAUAAUUCGCUCACCAAAGCUAACGCAUACUUUUAACAAUUUAAAUAGAUAUUUAUUGGGAAAAUUCUUAAAUCAAAUGAUAGUAUUUAGUUAAAUAAAUAUAUAUUUACAAUUUCUUAAUUUCCUAUAACAUGCCCAACAUAUUCUACCCGAGUUGACGCUACAUUAAAUGUAAACACUUUUAGGAGCUUAUAAGCUCUUGAUGAUGUUUGACAAAAUGAGCUAUUACACAACUUAUAAGGUAACCAAGAGUAUGGUAUUCCGUGUGCGUGUGUUGCCAAGCAGUAAGAGCUUAAUGCCUAAGGCCAAAAGUCUUGGAUUCGAGUCCCUUGUGGCGCGACCUUUUAAAUUUCUUUAUUUAUAAAAAAUAAGAUUUAAGUUAUUGCACCUAAAUAAUUUUUUGAUAAAUUCAAAAAGAACUUCUUAUUUUUUAAAUCUUAUAAGCAACAUUUAUUUUAUAAAAGUUACCCUACUAUUAUUUUUUAUUUCUAUCAUAUACUCUUUCAAUUUUAUAUCCCUAACUUUGUCGAUAUUAAACUCAUCAUUUUCUGCAUCAAAAAUCACCAAAUUAUAUAUUAAAUUACAUUAAAGCACAAAAUAAUCUAAGAAUAUGAGCAACUCAAAUACACACUUUAAGUUUCAAAUUAUCUUACCCAGGAUGCCAUAUCGUAUCUCAACUUCCUCCUCUUUCUCAUAAAACAACUUUGUUUUGACUAUUCCGCCACUUACUUCUUAUUUUAUACAAGUAAACAACUUUGUUUUCUUUUAAGGGGUGCCUUUACUUUGGUGUUAAAAUUUUCAUUGGAAAAUGAUGGAUAAGAAAAGAUGAGAAAAUAUUAUUUUUUCUUCUUUUUUUAUGUUAUGUUUAUUAGAGAUGAAAAGAUGAGAGAGUAUUGGAGAGAAAAAAAUGUGAAAAUGAGCUGCCCAAGAAAAUAUUUGAUUCUGCCCGGAGAAAAUUUUACAUUAUAGUAAAUAUAUGAAAACGGUGAAAAAUAUGUGAAAAUAUAUUUUUUUUCUCUCAUUUUCCAUCAAAGUAAACGCACCCUAACAGGUAACUGUGAUUCACGUUAUAGUAGACAAACUCAUUUAAAUAUCUCGCACAUGGAACUAGAAAUCAAAAAUCAUUCUUGCAUAAUUGAGUUUGGGUCAAUGUUCACAACUUGACUUGUGCCUACACAAAUUGGCAGCAUCAUGUGUGACACACAUUUUGUCUUUUUCUUCAGCAAAGUCCAUUCAUUACUGAAGCUUCUUAAUUUCAUUUUUCAUUUGUGGGACCCAAAAAAUGCGGCUAUAUUUGUAGUAGUUUCAUUUUCACUCGCUUUUGCCUCCAAAACUCUUAUUUUCUUCUUAAUUCUUUGCCCCAUUCACACUCCAACUUAAUUAAUUAAAAAUUGAUUGGAGAAAUUCAUACAUUUUUGCCGUAGGACUUGGGAAAGAUUAUUUUUAGAUUUCAAUAUAAACAGCACAACUACAAUAUUAGCACUCUGCAUUCACAAUAUGAAGAGAGUUUCCACAUUUUUCCUACUUUCCCUACUCAUGGGGUUUUCUUGCCUUAGCCUUGCUAACACAGAUCAAAUCAAAAGUGAUGAAUCAUCACUUCUUGCCUUCAAAUCCCGCAUCACUUCAGAUCCUUCCAAUAUUUUUAAAAAUAAUUGGACCACCGGAACCUCUAUCUGCACGUGGAUGGGAGUUACUUGCGAUUCACGUUAUAGUAGGGUGACUGCUUUAGAUCUCUCGAAUAUGAGACUCGAAGGCAGCAUCCCACCAGAAAUCAUAAAUCUUUCUUUUCUUGUUUCUCUAGAUUUGAGUGUGAACUCUUUUCAUGGUCCCCUACCAAAGGAUAUUUGCAGGCACAACAACCUUCGAAGACUCAAAGAACUUUACUUGUACUCCAACAAAUUGAAGGGGGAGAUACCAUUGAGCUUGGGUGAAUGUCCACAACUUGAGAUUAUUGACUUGUCAGACAACAACUUUGGUGGACAUGUGCCUGCACAAAUUGGGAACAUCACACAGCUUAAGGAAUUACGCCUUAGUUGGAACAAUUUGACAGGUAUGGUCUUAUCUCAAUAAUGAGAAUUUAACUCGUUCGAGUUUUAAAAAAAAUUAGGCCACUAUUUUAGGGUGUGGUUUGAAAAAAUAGGCCAAUUUUUUCGAACUUGCAAAAAUAGGUCAAUUAUUUUAAAUUUUGACGUCCGUAAGCCACAUUUGAUUCUAAUCGGGCUAUUUAGGGCCAAAUAUGGCCUAUUGAUGCCGAAUUGGGGCAAAUGUGGCCAAAGAUGCUAAAAUUUAAAGUAAUUGACCUAUUUUUGCAAGUUCAAAAAAUAUUGACCUAUUUUUUUGCAAAUCGUUAUAAGAUAGUGACUGCAAAAAAUUUUAAACUCAACUGGUUUGAUCCCACUUUUCCGUUUCUAUUGGGAUUUCAUGAAAUGACUUGAUGAUAUAUGCCAUUCAGUUUCGUAUCUGACUUUACUCAAGACGUUCUAAAGUUCCAACUUUUCAAAGAAUUUUCAAAAAAUUAAUUAAGAGAAACUCCCAAGACAUUUUAGUUUACUCAGAAAAUUUGAAAACCACAUUUCCCCAACUUUUACUUGGUGAAAACAUGACUAAACAAUAAGGCUAAAAACAAGGAUUUUUACUUAUAGUUUGUCCAGAUACAUUCAAAGUGAAGUUUCUUAGCUUCGAUCUACGUACUUAAAUCUUAACCAAAUUUCAAUCAACUUCAUUCCAUACAUUCAUAAACAUAAUAGAUACAAGAUUUCAACAACUUCCUUCAAAAAUUAUGAAAUCAAGAUGCACAAAUCUUGCAAUUCUUACAUCUUCACACAUGUUUCUCAUAUCAUAUUGAAACUCAUACUUUCAUCUCCCAACCAAUCGAACCACGUAUUUCACUUAAUAUUGUUAUGAUGGUUAUACUUAACAAUAUGGAACUUGACUUUGAUGACUUCAUUAUUCUCCAGGUACUAUUCCGAAAGAGAUUGGAAAUCUUCAUAGUUUACAGAUCAUGCGUUGGGUUCCAACAAACUUAGCGGAUCAAUCCCGAGAGAAGUGUGGAACAUGACAGCUCUUAGCAGCUUACUGCUCGACAAUAAUAGUUUAAGUGGUAUGAUUUAUUGUUUCCCUAGCACAAGUUAGUUCCUCAAGCUAGCUCGUGAGUUAAUUUCUUUUUGUUGAUGUAUUUGGAUAUUUGUAGGAGUCAUUCCACAAGAGAUUCACCAUCUUCAUAAUUUACAAUGGUUGGCCUUGAGCUUGAACAAGUUGUCGGGCACUUUGCCAUCAUCAAUUUUCACAUGUCUUCCUUGACAGUGAUUCGCUUAUCAAGAACAUGUUUAGCGGGGCAUUGCCUUCAGAAAUUGGAAACAACAAGACAACAGCACUACAUGUUUUACACCUUAAAAACAAUACUUUAAGUGGUAAGAUUUCUAUCUCUUGGAGAUAUAGCAUUUACAGCUAUUGUGAGACCUUUAAGUUCUCAAAUCUAUAUUUGACUUUUCCAUAUAGCUGGUACGAGUCAUAUAUUGUGUUGUUAAUUUAUAUUAUGCAUAAUUUCUUCUCUUUUCAGGGCUAUUACCAUCUACUAUUGGAAACCUAUCAAGUUUGUACUACUUAAAUCUUGGUUCCAACAAGUUUAAUGGUGAGCAUUCAUCCUCCAUCUGCAACUUGACAUAUAUAGAGUAAAAUAGUCGAUUUUAGUAAGAUAUUGCUCUGUGCAUUUAUAUCUACUUAUCUAUUAUAUGAAUAUUUAUUUUUAUUCCAACACAGUUACAUAAACAUAUCAAAUAAAAUUAGUGGCAUGUCAUCAUCAUACUUAAUAAUUACAUAUAGCUCAAUCUCCUAACUAAAUCAUGCAUUUUACUUAGUAAUGUUAUUUUACUUAGUAAUUUAUUAUUCGGACACAAGUUUAGUAGUAACAUGUUGACUUGUAGUUGGUAGCUAGGAGUCAUACAUUGUGUUGUUAUUUUAUGUCAUGCAUAUUUUAUCCUCCUUUCAGGUCCAAUACCAUCUACCAUUGGAAACCUAUCAAAUUUGUACUACUUGAAUCUUGGUUCUAACAAAUUUCAUGGUGAGCUUUCAUCUUCCAUCUGCAGCAUGACAUUCCUUGAAAUACUUUUACUCUCUAGUAUAUAAUAGUUUUGAAGAAUCAAUUGCACAAGGUUUUCGAAACUUUAGCAAACUUUGAAUUUCAUUUAAACAAACCAGUUUAGUUGCCUCAUUCCAUCAACAUUUACCUAAAGAAUUUUAUGUGGUAAUAAAUUGCAAGGACCAUUACCUAAAUCCUUGAUCAAUUGCAAAAGUCUACAAGCAAUUUUAUUGGAUAGAUAUAUUUAUUUAUAAGCCCUAUCAAAUAGCUAUAAAUAUAUAUCAAAUAGAUUUAGUGUAAUAUUUAAUGAAUUAAUAUAUUUUUAUAAAUAUAUAAUAUUUUAUUUAUAAAAUUACCCUUAAAAUAAAAUAUGUAAUAAGAAUAUAAUAUGCAAUCUAUAUUUUAUGCCCAAAACACUUUUUAUAUUAGUAUAGAUAAAGAAAUUUGAUUUUUAUCCUUUUAUGUCUUUCAAAUAGUAUGUUUGUUACCAACUUUCAGGUCAAUUACCAUCUACCAUUGUGAAUAUUCUACCAUUGAAUUUUCUGCAACUCUCUUCCAACAAAUUAAUCGGAGAGAUUCCACUCUCCCUCUGUAACAUGACAUCCCUUCGGUAUCUUCUUCUCUCAACAAACAAUUUGGAAGGAAUAAUUCCACAAUGCUUUGGAAACUUCAGCUAUUUGGCCAUCUUUCAUUUAAAUGAAAAUAAGUUUAGUGGUCUCCUUCCAUCAACAUUUAGCGAGAGGUGUAGUCUUGUUUCCAUCAAUUUGAAUGGUAAUAAAUUGCAAGGACGAUUACCUAAAUCCUUGAUCAAUUGCGAAAGCCUACAAGCACUCGACAUCGGAAAUAAUAGAAUACAAGAUGAAUUUCCUCUCUGGAUGGAUGUCCUUCCAGACCUUCGAGUGUUGGUCUUGAAGUCUAACAAGUUUUAUGGGAACAUAUCACUUCCUUCACAAACCAAGAUUUCAUUUCCUAAUUUGCUAAGUUUUAGAUAUAUCUCGGAAUAGAUUCGUGGGUUCUUUGCCUCAAAUAUAUUUCAAGAAUUUCAGAGCAAUGAAAGAGGAAAAUGAGAAAAUCACAUCAAAUGAGAUUGAAAAUUAUGUGGAGAUGAGGCUCACCUUGAAAGGUCUGGAUCAAUUAUUACGGAGAUUGUUGUCGGACUUUACAACAAUUGACUUAUCCUCCAAUAGGUUUUCUGGGAGUAUUCCAAAUUCCAUAGGAAAUCUUAAAUUUCUCAAAUACUUGAAUUUGUCCCACAAUAACCUCAUAGGAAAUAUACCUUCGUCACUUGGAAAUAUGAAUGAACUUGAAUCCUUGGACUUGUCAGUGAACAAGUUGAAUGGAGAAAUCCCAAGUGAAUUGACUAGGUUGACAUUUCUUUCAACAUUAAACCUUUCAAUGAAUAAUCUUGUUGGACAAAUACCACAAUCUACUCAGUUUUCCACAUUUGAGAAUGAUUCAUAUAUGGGAAACGGGGGAUUGUGUGGACUUCCAUUGACCAAACAAUGCAAUGAGGAGAAUGGGCAGCAGAUGCAGCUAGAAGAAGAUGAUGAUGAUGAAGAUGAUAAGUAUGGAUUUAUAGAUGGGUUUGGAUGGAGAAGUGUGGUGAUGGGAUAUGGAAGUGGAUUCAUAGUUGGGAUUGGAAUUGGUUACAUUAUUAUUAGAAAUGGAAGGCCAAGAUGGUUAGUGGAAUUCUUUUUUGGAGUUGGAUAUAAUUAUAAGAUGGAGCUGAGACGUAGCAGAGCUACACCAACACCAACAACACGCGGGAGAACUUAAUUGAAGCCCAAAUCAAUUGUGUGCUUUACUUGUGCCGAUUUGUGUUUUCUUUUAUCUUUUUUACGUUUUGAAUUGCUACUUAGUGUGUUUUUCUCGAUUUCAACUUUAGAGUUUAUGAAAUGUUGUUGUAUAUUCGAAUGUGUUAAGUUUUAGUUUCAUCUCGUUCUCAUUUUGAUCUAGUUGACAACUAGAUCAUUGUGUUGGAACUCUCUUUUAACAUAAAACCGGUGUCUUUUAAGUGAUGUGUAUAAGAGAUUUUGCUGUAGCGGUAAAAGAAGUUUAAUCGGGUUUUUGGAGAGCUUCUAUUCAGGUAUAAAAUAAUACUUCAUCCGUCCACAAAAAAUAAUCAUAGAAGGAGAUGACACGGGUUUUAAUAAAAAUAGUUGAGUGUAUUAAUUGUAAAUGGAGAAAAGGUCCUACUUCAUUACCUUAAAUUUUCACAUUUUUUUGCCACUCUCAAUAUUUUCAAUAAUUUUUUCUCCACUCUCAAUAUAUUCAACAACUUUAUUUCUCCACUCUCUAUAGAAUCUAACUACUUAACUAGAUAAAUAAAAAUAAUAAUAACAAUGACUCACUAACAUAAAAUAAACAAGGUACAUAUCACGUAAACUUUAAGUUCUAUAUAUAUGUUAUCAUACUAUAGUUAUAAUAAACCUUAUACAAAUAAAUAAUUUUGGGACCUAAGAAUUUUAUCGAUGAUCAAUCGUAAUUUAUUAAUGUAUCGAUAAAUUAACAACUUUUUAGUUUAUAAAGUAUUUUCUUGAUUUCAGAAAUUAUGAUUAAAUCAAGUUAUAAUGAGUAAAAAUAAAGAGAGACAAUAUUUAAAUUAAAUAAAUAGAUGUAUCUAUCAAGUUAUUGUGGUUGAUAUUACGGGAGAUCAUAAUGAUGAUCAAGCUGAAGAUGAUUCAACCACAAAUUCAAAUUGUAUAAAGAUAAAAUAGUAUUCAUAAUUGUAAUAUUUUAAUAAUAUUAAUGGGGCCUAUAUAUGCAAUAAUAUUGUGCAUCGGGCCGGAAUCCAGUCAUCGAGACAUUAAUCAAUAAGAAAAUUUUGACUUUAGGACGCAAAACAUUAAAAGGAUCAUAGGUUUGGGUGAUAAGUAAUAUUUUCCAUAUAUGUUUAAAUCUACCAUUAAACUAACUUUUUGUGAAGUUUUGGAUAUUUGUAGGAAUUAUUCCACAAGAGAUACAUCAUCUUGAUAAUUUAGGAGCUAGUGUUGGACUUGAGUUUGAACAAGUUGUCAGGCACUUUGCCACCAACCAUUUUCAACAUGUCUUCCUUGAUUGAUAUGGAUUGACUUAUCAAGUAACACACUUAGCGGGGCAUUGCCUUCGGAAAUUGGGAACAUGAAAGUAGCACUAGCGUUUUUAAACCUUCAAAACAAUGCUUUCACUCUUAUAGAGUUUUACACAUAUUCAAAUGUUUCUUAAUUUUUAUGUAUAUAUUGGAUUUACAGCCAUUGUGAGACCUAUGUACUUCUUCUCAAACCUAUAUUUGACUUUUCCAUAUAGCAUUUACAACUAUGUUCUUCUCAAAUCUAUAUUGUUCUUUGACUUUCAUUGAUUACUGGAAUAAAUAUCAUUAUACUUAAAAUAGUAUACAGCUCAAUCUCCCAACCAAUCGAAUCACGUAUUUUACUUAUUAUUCUAAUGAUCGUUAUACUAAACAAUAUGAAACUUGACUGAUGACUUCAUUAUUCUCCAGGUACUAUUCCGAGUGAAAUUGGGAACAUGGAAGCACUACAAUUUUUAUACCUUGGAAACAAUGGUUUAACCGGUAAGAUUUCUUAUUGUUGUAGGGUUUUAAACCUAUUCAACAUGUUUAUUUCCAAUUGGAACCAUUUUCAGCACGCUUGUCUCCUUAUCCAAAAAGCAUAUAUAAUUACGGAGCUCGGUGAACUUUUUUGUACGAUUUAUUGUUCUUUGUCUUCCAUUGAUUAGUGGAAUAUACUCCCUCCGUCCACCAAUUGAUAUCCUAUUUUCCUUUUUGGUCCGUGCACUAAUUUAUGUUCUACCCAUUUAUAGUAACUCUUUAUAAUUUUUUAAUUGGUGGGUUCCAAUAAACAAUACAAUUUUUCUCCACUCAACUAAUAAACAAUACACUUUGUGGGUCCCUUUGUCCACGCAACUAAUAAAUAAUAUAUUUUGUGGGUCCCUUUCUCCACUCACUACACUUUUUCUUAAAACCCGUAUUUCCUCCCCUACGUCAUAAAUUAGUGGACGGAGAGAAUAUAUCAUUAUACUUAAUACUAUACAGCUCAAUCUCCCAACCCAUUACUAGUUGUGUUUUUCACAAAAUGUCUAGUUUAAAUAACAGACAAAUGUUGGUAAAAUGCUUUGUGCAUUUUUAGAUAUAAAGAAAUUUGAUUCAUAUCCUUCUCUAUCUUUCAAAUAAUAUAUUUGAAGGUCUUGUACUAACUUUCAGGUCAAAUACCAUCAACCAUUGGGAAUAUUCUACCAUUGAUUGUUCUACAACUCUAUUCCAACAAAUUAAUCGGUGAGCUUUCAUCCUCCAUCUAUAACUUGACAUCUCUUGAUGCUCUUGUUCUCUCAAAUAUCACCUUGGAAGGAACAAUUCCACGAUGCUUUGGAAACUUGAACUCUUUGACCAUCUUUCAUUUAAAUGAAAAUCAGUUUAGUGGUCUCAUUCCAUCAACAUUUAGAGAGGUGUGUAAUUUUGUGUCCAUCAAUUUGAAUGGUAAUAAAUUGCAAGGAACAUUACCUAAAUCCCUGAUCAAUUGCGGAAGUCUACGAAGCCUCGACGUUGGAAAUAAUAGAAUACAAGAUGAAUUUCCCUUCUGGAUGGAAGUCCUUCCACAGCUUGAAGUGUUGGUCUUGAGGUCUAACAAGUUUUACGGUAACAUGUCACUUCGGGCUAAUUGCCGCUAAAUCCAUGUACUUUUUCAAUUUUUGAUUUUUUCUCAUGGCAAAAAAAAAUCUACUUUAAAAUCCAUGAAUUGCAAAAUUGAUUGGAAAUUUCCCCCGCAUCCGAUUUCCGGCCAUCAGCGAAAUGAGUCAGAUCCUAUGUGGCGAAAUUCAUUCCGGGUGUUAAGUUUAAUGAAUGACAUGGACGCCACAUAAGAUUUUAAAAACUGAAAAAAAUUAUAGGAAAUCUUAAGAUUCUCAAAUACUUGAAUUUAUCCCAGAAUAACCUCAUUGGAAAUAUACCUUCAUCUCUUGCAAAUAUGAGUGAACUAGAAUCUUUGGACUUGUCAGUGAACAAGUUGGAUGGAGAAAUUCCAAGUGAAUUGACAGGGUUGACAUUUCUUGCGAAAUUAAACCUUUCAACGAAUAAUCUUGUGGGGCAAAUACCACAAGCCCAAAAGAAUUGUUAAACUGGGGCCUUCUGGCUCCGCCAUUGGUUACAACAAUACAACAGACUUCGUUGUCAACUUCGUUUUUGGCUUUAUAAGAUACUAGCUAGUAACCUGUUGAAAUUUGAUGGAGUAUUAUUUUUUUUGUAAUGAAUUUAUCUUUACAUAACUUUUGAAAUUAAUUUAAUUUAAUGUAAUAGAGUUCAAAUUAUAUUAAUCUCAACCACCUAUAUAAAUCAAAUCUUAAUAUUUUGUUGGGAGAAUAGAAAUGUUAUUUUAUACUAUAAGUUUUUAUUUGAUUAAGUUUUGUAAAAGGUCGAUGUGGAAUUGAAAAUUUUAGAAAAAUGAGAAGAAAAAAGUGUGUAAAUUAGAUGGAUGAUAUGACAGAGGGAUUGGUUGUGCCACAUUGGUUGUUAAUUGUAUAUAGACAACUUAUGUGUGUAUUUUAGUUGUUCAAUAUUCUUGAAUUUUUUGGCUUUAAUGAAAUUUAAUAUACACAAUUAGGUUAGGUUGUUUUUUUUUUUUUGUACAGGAAUUGAAGAGAUCAAUGUCAACUGAAUCGAAUGAAUGAUGAAGAGCUAAUGUUGGGCUACAAAGCCUACAAUGUUGAUUAGUCUUACUUCCUUGUUCGUUUGGGAUUCUAGUGACAUUAUAGAGAUAAGCUUUUACUUUUUAUGCAUAAGAGGAAUAGUUUCUGCAUCUGACAUGGUUAUUCGUUUGGGAUUCUAGUGACAUUAUUCUGGUUUGUAUCUUCAAUUUAGUAGAUUGUUAGUUAUGCUUUCUUUGUUCAAUUUAAUUAUGUUUUAUUUCGAUAGCAUGAGUAGCAAAUUUAUUAAUUCAGUGAGUAUAAUGAAACACUAGUCUAAAAUCUGUGACCUAAUUGUUUUAUUGAUUGAUACAAUUGGAUGAAUUAUUUACAUCUCAAUCAGAAGAAGCUUUUAGUUUAAGCAGGGAUAUUCGUGCUUAUAAUAGAAUAUUGUCAUUUACUUCGUUCAGUGUAAAAUUGGAUAAAGAACUCGCAUCUGUAAGACGAAGAGUUUAUUCUUUACAAGCACAAGGAAUGGUUUAUCAUGAUCUUCCUGAAUUGAUCCACAAUAUACAUGUAUUUUCAAUAAUACUUUUACGACACACAAAGUGAGGUUGAGGACCGAAUUAACAUAAGAUGCACGUAGAAAUUUUAGAGUUCAACAUGUAUGAAAAAUUCUUACAAAUUAAUUUAUGUAAGAAUUUACUGGUGUUUUUGAUAAAAUUAUUUGAAUUUGAAUAAAUUUCCUCGUUACCAAGAGCUUAUUAUUAUUAUUAUUAUUAUUAUUAUUAUUAUUAUUAUUAUUAUUCAAAAUAACUCGAAUUCAAAUUGCAACAAUUGCUCUAUUUUAAGGGGGCAGUUGCGUAGAGCUUGGUUUUAGAUUGCAAAGUGUGAAUUACCCUUUAUUAUAUCUUAUUCAAAGACACAAAAAGGGGGAUUUAAAGUCUCCCAAAUCUAUUAUAAAAAUAGAGAAUAUAUUCUACUUUUGCAUGUUAUUCUACCACUUCAAAUAAACAAACAGGUUUUGUUGUUUAUUCAACUGACGUAGCCCUCUGAUCACGGCCAAAACUUAUAAUGCUAUUUUAAUAUGAAUAUUAGGGUCAUUUUUUAAGAUUUGGGUUAGACUCAAUCUCCCAAAUCGAACAGAAAGUAGCUUUCCAUAUAAAUAGUCUUAGUUGCUUUUGCCUCCAAAAAUCACUCUUUAUAGUUCCACAAUUAUUUUCUUCGUCUUUCCAAUGGGAAAAAUAUUAUUUUAGCUUUGAAUAAAAGGAAACUCUGCAUUUCCUACUUUCAUCANAACAGGCUCGAGCUCGAUUCGUUUAAAUAUUCAGGUGUCUGAACGUGAUUCGAACUUUUAUCUUGUUAAUCGAGUUUAGCUCGUUACUCACUUACCGAGCUCAAGCUCAGUUCGAAUUCAGCUCAUGUGAUACUCAAUAAUAUCGAAUUCGAGCUUAAGCUCGAGCUCGAACUCGAUGUGUUUAAAGUUUGUGUACUAACUCAAUUGAAGGUUCGUGAAUAAACUCGCAAAUAUAUUCGUGAUUAAUCGCAUUUGAAUAUGUUCGCAAGCUAAACGAGCCGAGUGCUGCCAAGUUUGAGCUCGGUUCAAAAAAAUUAUCGAGCUCAAAAUCAAGCUCAAACUUGUUUACUAUCAAACCGAUCAAGUUUGGGAUCAUAUUCAGCAAUGGCUCAACAUCAAAACGGCAAAGCCACAAGGUCUCUUUCAACAUUUUUUGUCUUUUACUUAUGGUGGCAAAGGUAAGAAAAUCAGAAAAUUUUUGAAAGCUUUAUUGGUUGGAACAAUUUGGCUGCUGUGGAGUUAUAGAAAUGAAAGUAGGUUUGAAGGAAAGGAGUGGGAUCCACAAAAACUUGUGUUGGAGGUUAAAGGUAGACUUUGGAGCUGGAACAAGACUUUCCAAAUGGUGGAAGUGAAUGUUCCGUUUUCUUUGUGGUGCUCCCAAGAGUACACACUCCCCUUUUUGUAACUGUUUUGGUACUACUGAUACCGAGUUUUUCAAUAUAUUGCACUUUUAUUGAUAAAAAAAAAAAAGUUGAGUCUCGAAUAGAUCGCGGGUAGCUCUAUUUAUUUAUAAUCCUAACCGUUGGUGUUAAUGUUUGACGGUGAUACAUAUAUGCACGAAAGGACCAAGAAAAUAUUGGCCGGCGACUGACUUAUCUCACUCCCCACCUAAUUCGGCUUCCACGCGGCCUUCAAUCAACUCAAAUUACUACUUAGUAGUGCCACCCACCUUUCCCUUGACCUUCUCACGCAAAUCUAUACUAAUAGAAAAAGAGCCUAAGCAUUUUAUGGGACAACUUGUGGAUUGCCUAUUUUACCCCUAUUAUUUAUUUUGUAUUAUAUAUUUAUAAAAUCAAUCUAUUUGAUAUAUAUUUAUUUGUCACCCAAAUCUAUAAAUAAUAUUUUAUAUUAUAAAACCAAACAUAUACAUAAAAUCGUUGUCAAAUUAAUUAGAUAAAAAAUUUCUUCUCUACUUAGGUCCAAUAUUGAUGUUUCCCUCAUCUAAUCUAAUUAUAAUUUCUAAAUAAAUCCCUAAUAUAAUUGGUAUUUACAUCACAAUUCUUUUUUCCCUAAAAGAAGUUCAUCAAUUAAACCAACGAUCAAGGGGAUUCCAAUAUCUUAUCGCAUUAGAAUUCUAUUUAAUUUAUUACAUAUUUUAUUUUAAGGUUUUUUACAGAUUAUAUAUUUAUAAGAAUAUAUUAUUAUUAAUAUACACUAAAUCUAUGUGUAUAUAUCUAUAGCUAUUGAUAAGGCUUAUAAAUAAAUAUAUUCAAUCCAAUAAAAUUUAUUAAUGAAAGUAAUAAAUUAAUAAUUUUCUAAAAUAAUAGAUUAUUAAAUAAAAUAACAUUAAUUACACGUACAACGUACGUUCUUUCUGCUAGUUACUCAAAAUGACUCGAAUAUUCAAAUUGCAACAAUUGCUCUAUUUUCAGGGGGCAAUUGCGUAGAGCUUGGUUUUAGAUUGCGAAGUGUGAAUUACCCUUUAUUAUAUCUUAUUCAAAGAUCACAAAAAGGGGGAUUUAAAGUCUCCCAAAUCUAUUAUAAAAAUAGAGAAUAUCUUCUACUUUUGCAUGUUAUUCUACCACUUCAAAUAAACAAACAGGUUUUGUUGUUUAUUCAACUGACGUAGCCCUCUGAUCACGGCCAAAACUUAUAAUGCUAUUUUAAUAUGAAUAUUAGGGUCAUUUUUUAAGAUUUGAGUUAGACUCAAUAUCCCAAAUCGAACAGAAAGUAGCUUUCCAUAUAAAUAGUCUUAGUUGCUUUUGCCUCCAAAAAUCACUCUUUAUAGUUCCACAAUUAUUUUCUUCGUCUUUUCCUCAUUCACACUCCAAUUAAUUAUUUUCUCCGGCUUCGUCGCUCCAAUGGGAAAAUAUUAUUUUAGCUUUGAAUAAAAGGAAACUCUGCAUUUCCUACUUCAUCAUUAAUCCUUCCCAUUUGCCCAUCAUAUCCACACACACUCUAUAUAUACAUGUAUAUGGAUUUCAUAGUUCAAUAUUCUAAAAAAUUACUACUGUCAAAAUCAAGCCAAAAAAUGCCAAAAUCUCCCCAUUUUCUCAUCCUUGCACUACUCUUACCAAUCCAUUAUUUGAUGGAUUAUAGCUCAGCCAAAACCGAUAUCAACACCGAUCGUUCUUCACUUCUUGCCUUGAAAUCUCAAAUCACUUUAGAUCCUCAAAAUAUAUUGACCCAAAAUUGGAGCACUGAAGCCAGUGUUUGUAGUUGGAUAGGAGUUACUUGUGAUUCACACUACAAUAGGGUGACUAACUUGAAUAUAUCGCACAUGGGUCUUGUCGGAACCCUCCCACCAGAAAUCGGGAAUCUUUCUUUCCUCGUCUCUUUAAAUGCGAGUCAUAACUCUUUUCAUGGCCCCAUUCCCCCAUCUAUCUUCAACAUGUCAUUUCUAGAAGUUUUGGAACUAAAGAAUAAUAGUUUGUCUAGUAGUUUACCUCUUGAUAUGUGCAUACACAAUCUGCAUAGACUCAAGAGGCUUCGUAUAUCUUACAACGUGUUGUAUGGGGAAAUACCAUCGAGUUUGGGGCAGUGUUCACAGCUUGAGUAUCUUUCUUUGUACAACAACAAUUUCACUGGAUUUGUGCCGAGAGAAAUUGGGAACUUGACCAAGCUUCAAGAGUUGUACCUUGGUGAAAAUAAGUUGACUGGUAAGUUCAUUCCUAUAUUUAUGAGGUCAAAUCAUGCAUUUAAUGCCAUAUUAUUUAAUUCUUUAAUUUAUGUGCUUUAUGUUUGAGUGUCAAAUUUAAAAUUUAUCUCAGCUUAAUUGUAUGUAUAAACUCAAUUUGGACCACUAAUCAUUAUACAAUAACGCAUACAAAGUUUUCGAACCUUUAGAAAAUCUUUGAUGAUCUUUCAUUUAAACACAAACCAGUUUAGUGGUAAUAAAUUGCAAGGACCAUCAACAUUUACCAAUGAUUGGACUCUUUUUCAGUCAAUUUAAGUGAUACUAGUAAAUUGCAAGGAGCAUUACCUAAAUCCUUGAUCAAUUGUCAAAGUCAUAUAAUUGUGUCUUUCACAAAUUUAUAAAUGACUUUUCCAUAUAACAUUCAUUAGGACUAGUAAUCUAAAAUACUUUGAAUUAAAUAUACUAUAUUUAUAAAGAAUUCAAUAUAUUCAUUUUAAAUGUUAAGUAGGAUGUGUUAGCGUGUAUUUACAUGACAUUGUUUUAUAUUUAAAGAUUCAUAGGUUAGGGUGAUAAGUAAUAUUUUCCAUAUAAGUUUCAAUCUAGAAUUAAACUAACUUUGUGUGAUGAUUUGAAUAUUUGUAGGAGUUAUUCCACAAGAGAUACAUCAUCUUCAUAAUUUAAGAGUGUUGGACUUGAGUUUGAACAAGUUGUCAGGCACUUUGCCACCAACCAUUUUCAACAUGUCUUCCUUGGUAUGGAUUGACUUAUCAAGUAACACACUUAGCGGGGCAUUGCCUUCAAUAAUUGGGAACAAGAAAGCAGUACUAGAGUUUUUAUACCUUGAAAACAAUGCUUUAACCGGUAAGAUUUCUAACUCUUGUAGGGUUUUACACAUAUUCAAAUGUUUCUUAAUUUUCAUGUAUAUUUAGCGUUUACAGCCAUUGUGAGACCUUUAACUUCUUCUCAAAUCUAUAUUUGACUUUUCCAUAUAGCAUUUACAGCUAUGUCCUUCUCAAAUCUAUAUUGUUCUUUGUCUUCCAUUGAUUAGUGGAAUAAAUAUCAUUGUACUUAAAUAGCUCAAAAUUUCCCAUCCGAUCAAAUCAUGUAUUUUUACCUAUUAUUGUUAUGAUCGUUAUACUUAACAAUAUGGAACUUGACUUUGAUGACUUCAUUAUUCUCCAGGUACUAUUCCGAAAGAGAUUGGAAAUCUUCAUAAUUUAUGGUUCAUGUGGUUGGGUUCCAACGAACUUAGCGGAUCAAUCCCGAGAGAAGUGGGGAACAUGACAGCUCUUUCUGACUUACGGCUCGACAAUAAUAGUUUAAGUGGUAUUAGAACUCUUUUAGCGAGUUAAUUUCUUUUUUUGGGGAUUCCCACAAACUUAGUGGAGCUUUAAUUGUACCCACAAAUUUGGAAUAUUAGAACUCUUUGUCGCUCACACCUUUUUAACAUUUAUUUAACUUUUCCGCCAGGUACUAUUCCUAAAGAGAUUGGAAAUCUUCGUAAUUUACACUACUUAAGUUUGUCUUGACUAUUUAUGGCUCCACAAUAAUACUUUAAGUGGUAUGAUUUAUUAUUUAGCUAGCCACAAGUUUAGGUAAAAGAUAAUAUUGUUUGUUAAAUUAAAUAGAUGCAAAGUAAAAGAUAUUUGAUAGGUUUUGGAGAGCUUUUAUUCAGGUAAUUAAAAGAUAGUAAUAGAUUGUUUUAUUACUUCGCAAAUUCAUUUCUAAAGAAAAUUAUUUUCACCUUUAAGAGUCUCGUUUCUUUUCCAACAUUCGACACAAAAGUAUUUUUCCUUUCUUAUUUUCACUUCAAUGAUGGAUAAUAUUAGAAGGAUAAUAUUAUCCAUCAUUGAAGUGAAAAUAAGAAAGGAAAAAUACUUUUGUGUCAAAUGUUAGAAAAGAAAUGAGACAUUUGAAAGCAUAAAUUUUUGUUUCUUUUCAAUUGGAACCAUCUUCAGCACUCGUCUCUUUAUCCUAAAAGAUGGAAGCACUAAAUCUUUUAUUCCUUGGAAACAAUGACUUUGACUCUAGGACGCAAACAUUAAAAGGUUCAUAAAUUAGGGUGAUAAGUAAUAUUUUCCCUAUACGUCUCAAUCUAGAAUUAGACUAACUCUUUGUGAUGAUUUGGAUAUUUGUAGGAGUUAUUCCACAAGAGAUACAUCAUCUUCAUAAUUUAACAGUGUUGGACUUGAGUUCGAACAAGUUGUCAGGCACUUUGCCACCAACCAUUUUCAACAUGUCUUCCUUGACAUGGAUUGACUUAUCAAGUAACACACUUAGCGGGGCAUUGCCUUCAGAAAUUGGGAACAAGAAAGCAGUACUAGAGUUUUUAUACCUUCAAAACAAUGCUUUAACCGGUAAGAUUUCUAACUCUUGUAGAGUUUUACACAUAUUCAAAUGUUUCUUAAUUUUCAUGUAUAUUUAGCAUUUACAGCCAUUGUGAGACCUUUAACUUCUUCUCAAAUCUAUAUUUGACUUUUCCAUAUAGCAUUUACAGCUAUGUUCUUCUCAAAUCUAUAUUGUUCUUUGUCUUCCAUUGAUUAGUGGAAUAAAUAUCAUUAUACUUAAAUAGUAUACAGCUCAAUCUCCCAACCGAUCGAAUCACGUAUUUUACUUAUUAUUCUCAAUUAUGAUUGUUAUACUUAACAAUAUGGAACUUGACUUUGAUCACUUCAUUAUUCUCCAGGUACUAUUCCAUCCUCCAUCUGUAACUUGACAUCUCUUGGAUUUCUUGUUCUCUCAAAUAACACCUUGGAAGGAACAAUUCCACAAUGCUUUGGAAAUUUGAGCAAAUCUUUGCUCAUUUUUCAUUUAAAUGUGAAUCAGUUUAGUGGUCUCAUUCCAUCAUCAUUUAGCAAGGGAUGUGGCCUUGUGUCCAUCAAUUUGAAUGGUAAUAAAUUGCAAGGACCAUUACCUAAAUCCUUGAUCAAUUGCCAAAGACUACGAGACCUCGACGUCGGAAAUAAUAGAAUACAAGACGAAUUUCCCUUUUGGAUGGAAGUCCUUCCAGACCUUCAAGUGCUGGUCUUGAGGGCUAACAAGUUUUAUGGUAACAUGUCACUUCCUUCGCAAACCAAGAUUCCAUUUCAUAAUUUGCAAGUUUUAGAUAUAUCUCAGAAUAGAUUUGUGGGCUCUCUGCCUCAAGGAUAUUUCAAGAAUUUCAGAGCAAUGAUAGAGGUAAAUGAAACAAACUUGUCAACUAACGACACCUUCUUUAAAGAUUAUGUGGAGAUGAGGCUCACCUUGAAAGGUCUGGAUCAAUUAUUACAGAGAUUGUUGUCAGC
rnacentral:lncRNA from 1 species